UACAGAGGGUGCGAGCGUUAAUCGGAAUCACUGGGCUUAAAGCGUGCGUAGGCGGGUGUGCAGGCAUGUUGUGAAAUCCCAUGGCUCAACCAUGGAAUUGCUUCGUGAACCGCACAUCUUGAGGCAGGUAGGGGCGGUCGGAACGAUAGGUGGAGCGGUGAAAUGCGUAGAUAUCUAUCGGAACGCCAAAGGAGAAGUCAGGCUGCUGGGCCUGUCCUGACGCUGAGGCACGAAAGCGUGGGUAGCAAACGGG
rnacentral:rRNA from 1 species